ACAGUCUGUACGUAUAAUAAUACAUUCAUGGGCAAAAUCUUGGGGGGUAUAAAGGGUGUAUUUGCAUCCCUUUAAUUUGUGUGGGGGUGCAAUACUAUCAUUUUGAACCCCAUUAAUCGAAAAUAACCCUGAUUUGUUAAGCAAAACAGCAAAACCACGUCGGGUAGAAUUCUAUUUCGUGUGCAGUUUGUUAAUAUAAUGCGACCGGUUAGGGUUUCCGAAAACGUUUUUUAUCGCUUUUCGUUCAAGUGAUAUUCACCGCUUAUAAAUGGGAAUUGUGAUACCACAAAAUAGAUUAAUGAUGAUACUACGUGAAUACGUGUUCGCGAAAAUUGUUGCUGUGCUAUGAUAGCAAGAGCUAUUUGACAUUUUUAAGCGCUUUUUAUGGAUUUUAAAUGCAUAUAAAUCCGUUACCUAAUGAUCAUAUAUGGUCUUGGUGAACCGUUUUACUUACGAGCGUUUAUUUUAAUAUUUAUUAUUAAAUACACAUCUUCUGGAUUUUUUUUUUUUGAUUCUUUAGUUACUUUAUUACUUCGGGUCGUAAAUGCCAGUUUUGCACCCCCUGAAUUUCAGCGAAAUUACGCUUAUGAAUACAUUGACGAUACGUAUAAUUAAUAUAAAUAGGUAUUGCUGUCGCAUGUACAUAUUAUAAUUAUGCACUUGUAAACACGAUAAUUCGGUACUUAUCAUUUUUUUAUGAAUAAAAUAAAUACAAAAUUCGAAUACCUACAAUACCUAUGCUGUUCGAGUAAUCGCUAUUCAAUGAAAUAAAAUACAAUAUUAUAACACAUACCCGACGAUAGUUCGAAAACAGAAUGCGACGACAGGACUGCGGUGCGCAAUCAAUAACCGAA